rnacentral:rRNA from 1 species
UACGAAGGGUGCAAGCGUUAAUCGGAAUUACUGGGCGUAAAGGGUGCGUAGGCGGUUGCCUAAGUCCGUUGUGAAAGCCCUGGGCUCAACCUGGGAAUUGCAGUGGAUACUGGGCGACUGGAGUACGGUAGAGGAUGGCGGAAUUCCCGGUGUAGCAGUGAAAUGCGUAGAGAUCGGGAGGAACAUCAGUGGCGAAGGCGGCCAUCUGGACCAGUACUGACGCUGAGGCACGAAAGCGUGGGGAGCAAACAGGAUUAGAUACCCUGGUAGUCCACGCCCUAAACGAUGCGAACUGGAUGUUGGGCACACUUUGGUGCUCAGUAUCGAAGCUAACGCGUUAAGUUCGCCGCCUGGGGAGUACGCACGCAAGUGUGAA